UACGUAGGGUGCGAGCGUUAAUCGGAAUUACUGGGCGUAAAGCGUGCGCAGGCGGCUACAUAAGACAGAUGUGAAAGCCCCGGGCUUAACUUGGGAACUGCGUUUGUGACUGUGUGGCUGGAGUGCGGCAGAGGGGGGUGGAAUUCCACGUGUAGCAGUGAAAUGCGUAGAGAUGUGGAGGAACACCGAUGGCGAAGGCAGCCCCCUGGGUCGACACUGACGCUCAUGCACGAAAGCGUGGGGAGCAAACAGG
rnacentral:rRNA from 1 species